rnacentral:misc_RNA from 1 species
GUGAAUCAUCGAAUCUUUGAACGCACAUUGCGCCCGCCAGUAUUCUGGCGGGCAUGCCUGUUCGAGCGUCAUUUCAACCCUCAAGCCCCAGUCGGCUUGGUGUUGGGGACCGGCCCCGGCCGCCCCCCAAAUGCAGUGGCGACCUCGCCGCAGCCUCCCCUGCGUAGUAGCACAACCUCGCACCGGAGCGCGGAGACGGUCACGCCGUAAAACGCCCAACUUCUUAGAGUUGACCUCGGAUCAGGUAGGAAUACCCGCUGAACUUAAGCAUAUCAAUAAGCGGAGGA